CAGUAGCCGCGGUAAUACGAGGGGGGCGAGCGUUGUUCGGAAUUAUUGGGCGUAAAGGGUGCGUAGGCGGUUCAGUAAGUCUUGUGUGAAAUCUUCGGGCUCAACUCGAAGUCUGCAUGAGAAACUGCUGGGCUUGAGUGUGGGAGAGGUGAGUGGAAUUCCCGGUGUAGCGGUGAAAUGCGUAGAUAUCAGGAGGAACACCUGUGGCGAAAGCGGCUCACUGUACCAUAACUGACGCUGAGGCACGAAAGCUAGGGGAGCAAACAGGAUUAGAUACCCCCGUAGUCCCUGUCUCUUAUAC
rnacentral:rRNA from 1 species